rnacentral:rRNA from 1 species
UACAGAGGGUGCGAGCGUUGUUCGGAAUUAUUGGGCGUAAAGGGCGCGUAGGCGGCCACCGCAAGUCGACUGUGAAAUCUCCGGGCUUAACCCGGAAAGGUCAGCCGAUACUGCGGGGCUAGAGUGCAGAAGGGGCAACUGGAAUUCUCGGUGUAGCGGUGAAAUGCGUAGAUAUCGAGAGGAACACCUGCGGCGAAGGCGGGUUGCUGGGCUGACACUGACGCUGAGGCGCGAAAGCUAGGGGAGCGAACGGG